rnacentral:rRNA from 1 species
ACAGUUUGAUGAUGGCUCAGAGUGAACGCUGGCGGCGUGCCUAACACAUGCAAGUCGAACGAGAACGGAACUAGUUUACUAGUUUGUCAGCUAAGUGGCGCACGGGUGAGUAAUAUAUAGUUAAUCUGCCCCAAAGAAGAGAAUAAUUGUUGGAAACGACUUGUAAUGCUCUAUAUGCCUUUAUCACAUAAGUGAGCAAGGGAAAUAUUUAUAGCUUUGGGGUGAGACUGUACGGUAUCAGCUAGUUGGUGAGGUAAUGGCUCACCAAGGCUAUGACAUCUAACUGGUUUGAGAGGAUGAUCAGUCACACUGGAACUGAGACACGGUCCAGACUCCUACGGGAGGCAGCAGUGGGGAAUAUUGCACAAUGGACGAAAGUCUGAUGCAGCAACGCCGCGUGGAGGAUGACACAUUUCGGUGCGUAAACUCCUUUUAUAUGAGAAGAUAAUGACGGUAUCAUAUGAAUAAGCACCGGCUAACUCCGUGCCAGCAGCCGCGGUAAUACGGGGGGUGCAAGCGUUACUCGGAAUCACUGGGCGUAAAGAGAAUGUAGGCUGGUUAUUAAGUUGGAAGUGAAAUCCUAUGGCUCAA